GGGAAGGUUGUCUGCUCCAGAGGCUUCCCUAGAGUGAAGAGCUCUACUAUGUAUGCUUUAUGCGGCAGAAGGAGUGCUUUGGAGGAGUUUUUAAAUUUGUUUUUUUUUUAAAUCUUAUCGGUUUUAAUUGUAGCAAUGAUUCAAGAAACGUUAGUAGGUGCCCAUAACUUCGGUGGUGGAGAUCCAAAAGUGAACAAGACAGUGUUCUGGCUGCUAAAUUCUUCUUAACUGGUUAUGCCUGGAGACCUUCACUUGGUUCUGUGCCAGCACUGCCCAUGAACUUCAUAGACUGUGAUCUUUGCUAAGGCCUAAAUGAAUGAAGGUGCAGGACCGGAAGCAGAAGACAGAAAGUGGAGACCAGAUGUUUGAAGCUGGGUAAAGGCAGGGAUGGAGCAGGAACCGAGGAACAAACCUUGGAACUAGUUGCACUUGCCCAAAGGAAGUUCUCGUUUGAUUGACUCUGUCUGCUGCUCCAUAGCGACUUUCCAGCUCUCAGGCCUGAUCCAAGGAGCCACAGAGCAUGCCCAUCAAGAGCUAUGUGGGACCAUGGGGGCGGGCCUGGGUUUUAUGUGAAGUAAUGGCUUUUCAAGCCUGGCAUGACAGUUCGCAGUCCAGCAUGGCAACCAGCAGCCCAGCAUGAAGGAGGCAGACAGUUGAACAGAUUAUUUUUAUGGCUUACUUAAAGAAAUAGUUUUGAUGUCAAAUCCAUUUUGGUUUCAAAUGGGAAAAUCAGAGUUAACCUCUCUAUACUAUUCAGAAAAAAUCAGCUGAAAAGUGCAGAAACCAAAUUGGUUUACCAACUGGUGGUCAUCAUGCCGAGAGCAUUAUAACCAAUGCUCUCCUCUUUGCAGUCCCUUCACCCCAGUUGACUAAUUGUUUAGAUCCAAUUAACUUUCAUUUGUUGUAUGUUGCAUAAACUGGACUUUACAACUAGGUAUAAGAAGAACAAGGAGGGAAGAAGAGUAUCUUCUUUGUAUUAAAUUAUGUCUCGUUUUUCACAAGAUAGUUCAUAUCUCCCUUUAAAUGUCAUAUAUGAUAUAUGCCUCUUUAAAUGUUGUGAUUGCUUGAAAU
rnacentral:lncRNA from 1 species